UGAGGAAUAUUGGACAAUGGACGAAAGUCUGAUCCAGCCAUACCGCGUGCAGGAAGACAGCCCUACGGGUCGUAAACUGCUUUUGUUUGCCAAGAAACCUCCCCACGUGUGGGGAGCUGACGGUAGCAUUCGAAUAAGGACCGGCUAACUCCGUGCCAGCAGCCGCGGUAAUACGGAGGGUCCAAGCGUUAUCCGGAUUUAUUGGGUUUAAAGGGUUCGUAGGCGGGAAGAUAAGUCAGUGGUGAAAGCCUGUGGCUCAACCAUAGAAUUGCCAUUGAUACUGUCUUUCUUGAAUGCACAUGAAGUGGGCGGAAUGUGUCGUGUAGCGGUGAAAUGCUUAGAUAUGACAC
rnacentral:rRNA from 1 species